UACGAAGGGGGCUAGCGUUGUUCGGAAUCACUGGGCGUAAAGCGCACGUAGGCGGACUUGUUAGUCAGGGGUGAAAUCCCGGGGCUCAACCCCGGAACUGCCUUUGAUACUGCAAGUCUUGAGUCCGAGGGAGGUGAGUGGAAUUCCUAGUGUAGAGGUGAAAUUCGUAGAUAUUAGGAAGAACACCAGUGGCGAAGGCGGCUCACUGGCUCGGUACUGACGCUGAGGUGCGAAAGCGUGGGGAGCAAACAGG
rnacentral:rRNA from 1 species